rnacentral:rRNA from 1 species
AUUGAACGCUGGCGGAAUGCUUUACACAUGCAAGUCGAACGGCAGCACGGACUUCGGUCUGGUGGCGAGUGGCGAACGGGUGAGUAACAUAUCGGAACGUAUCCAAUAAUGGGGGAUAACGAGUCGAAAGAUUCGCUAAUACCGCAUACGCCCUAUGGGGGAAAGCUGGGGAACUUCGGGCCUGUCGUUAUUGGAGCGGCCGAUAUCUGAUUAGCUAGUUGGUGAGGUAAAGGCUAACCAAGGCGACGAUCAGUAGCUGGUCUGAGAGGACGACCAGCCACACUGGAACUGAGACACGGUCCAGACUCCUACGGGAGGCAGCAGUGGGGAAUUUUGGACAAUGGGCGCAAGCCUGAUCCAGCCAUUCCGCGUGAGUGAAGAAGGCCUUCGGGUUGUAAAGCUCUUUCGCAAGGGAAGAAAACUUAGCCACUAACAUUGGUUGAGGUUGACGGUACCUUGAUAAGAAGCACCGGCUAACUACGUGCCAGCAGCCGCCGUAA